rnacentral:rRNA from 1 species
GGGCGCAAGCGUUGUCCGGGAAUUAUUGGGCGUAAAGAGCUCGUAGGCGGUUUGUCGCGUCUGCUGUGAAAACCUGAGGCUCAACCUCGGGCUUGCAGUGGGUACGGGCAGACUAGAGUGCGGUAGGGGUGACUGGAAUUCCUGGUGUAGCGGUGGAAUGCGCAGAUAUCAGGAGGAACACCGAUGGCGAAGGCAGGUCACUGGGCCGCAACUGACGCUGAGGAGCGAAAGCAUGGGGAGCGAACAGGAUUAGAUACCCUGGUAGUCCAUGCCGUAAACGUUGGGCACUAGGUGUGGGGCUCAUUCCACGAGUUCCGUGCCGCAGCAAACGCAUUAAGUGCCCCGCCUGGGGAGUACGGCCGCAAGGCUAAAACUCAAAGAAAUUGACGGGGGCCCGCACAAGCGGCGGAGCAUGCGGAUUAAUUCGAUGCAACGCGAAGAACCUUACCAAGGCUUGACAUACACCGGAAAAGUGCAGAGAUGUGCUCCCCGCAAGGUCGGUGUACAGGUGGUGCAUGGUUGUCGUCAGCUCGUGUCGUGAGAUGUUGGGUUAAGUCCCGCAACGAGCGCAACCCUCGUCCUAUGUUGCCAGCGGGUUAUGCCGGGGACUCAUAGGAGACUGCCGGGGUCAACUCGGAGGAAGGUGGGGAUGACGUCAAAUCAUCAUGCCCCUUAUGUCUUGGGCUUCACGCAUGCUACAAUGGCCGGUACAAAGGGCUGCGAUACCGCGAGGUGGAGCGAAUCCCAAAAAGCCGGUCUCAGUUCGGAUUGGGGUUUGCAACUCGACCCCAUGAAGUCGGAGUCGUUAGUAAUCGCAGAUCCGCAACGCUGCGGUGAAUACGUUCUCGGGCAUGGUACACACCACCCGGCAAGCCAUCAUAGUCGUCAUCACACGAAACGAGUGCACCUC